AACGAACGCUGGCGGCAGGCCUAACACAUGCAAGUCGAACGGGACCUUCGGGUCUAGUGGCGGACGGGUGAGUAACGCGUGGGAACGUGCCCUUUGGUUCGGAAUAGCCCUGGGAAACUGGGAGUAAUACCGGAUACGGUCGAGAGACGAAAGAUUUAUCGCCGAAGGAUCGGCCCUCGUUGGAGUAGGUAGUUGGUGGGGUAAUGGCCUACCAAGCCGACGAUCCAUAGCUGGUUGGAGAGGAUGAUCAGCCACACUGGGACUGAGACACGGCCCAGACUCCUACGGGAGGCAGCAGUGGGGAAUCUUAGACAAUGGGGGAAACCCUGAUCUAGCCAUGCCGCGUGAGCGAUGAAGGCCUUAGGGUUGUAAAGCUCUUUCAGUGGGGAAGAUAAUGACGGUACCCACAGAAGAAGCCCCGGCUAACUCCGUGCCAGCCGCCGCGGUAAAAC
rnacentral:rRNA from 1 species